rnacentral:rRNA from 1 species
AUUGAACGCUGGCGGCAGGCUUAACACAUGCAAGUCGAGCGAGCGGCGGACGGGUGAGUCAUGUCUGGGAAACUGCCUGAUGGAGGGGGCUAACUACUGGAAACGGUAGCUACUACCGCAUACCAUCAGAUGUGCCCAGAUUGGAUUAGCUAGUAGGUGGGGUAAUGGCUCACCUAGGCGACGAUCCCUAGCUGGUCUGAGAGGAUGACCAGCAACACUGGAACUGAGACACGGUCCAGACUCCUACGGGAGGCAGCAGUGGGGAAUAUUGGACAAUGGGCGCAAGCCUGAUGCAGCCAGGCCGCGUGAGUGAAGAAGGCCUUCGGGUUGUAAAGCACUGUCAGCGGGGAGGCGGUACCCGAAGAAGAAGCACCGGCUAACUACGUGCCAGCAGCCGCGGUAAUUC